rnacentral:misc_RNA from 1 species
GAUGAAGAACGCAGCGAAAUGCGAUAAGUAAUGCGAAUUGCAGAAUUCCGUGAGUCAUCGAAUCUUUAACGCACAUUGCGCCCUCUGGUAUUCCGGAGGGCAUGCCUGUCUGAGCGUCAUUGUCAACCCUCAAGCUCGGCUUGCUGUUGGGUCCCCGUCGUUGCCUUAACGGCGGACCCGAAAGAUAAUGGCAGAGUCCGUAAGACCCUGGAUGCAGCGAGCUUCUAGCACGCGUCUGGACGGUUUACGGGCUUGGUCUUAACCAGAUGAUAACCUCUGAUUGACCUCAGAUCAGGUAGGGAUACCCGCUGAACUUAAGCAUAUCAAUAAGCGGAGGA